GUGAAUGCCUGUAAUUCUCAUGGGUAGCCGAAUCCAUUACUCAGAAAUAUUUUCAUUGCAACACUUAUCGGGCAAGGGCAGCACGGUGGCUUAGUGGUUAGCACUGUUGCCUCACAGCAAAAAGGUCCUGGGUUCGAAUCCUGGGGUCGAACUGGGGCCUUUCUGUGUGGAGUUUGCAUGUUCUCCCCGUGCCUGCGUGGGUUUACGCCGGUUUCCUCCCACAGUCCAAAGACAUAUACAUUAGGUUGAUUGGUAAUUCUAAAUUGCCCAUAGGAGGGAGUGUGUGUGUGUGCUUGUGUGGCCCUGUGAUGGACUGGCCACCUGUCCAGGGUGUACCCCCUGCCUUUCGCCCUAUGUGCGCUGGGAUAGGCUCCAGCAGACCCCUGGGAGUCCUAGGAAUAAGUGGGUAUAGACAAUGAAUGAAUGAAUGAAAAUGGUUCCACUUUCUAAUAAGGAAACUGUUGCAAUUAAAGGUACCAUAAAGUCCUGGUCUCGAUUUGCGUAAAGUUUGUUUUGAAAAAUAAAAAAGUCAAGAAAUGUUUUCCCACACACAAAAUCGAUAACAUUACUGCUGGUCGCAUUAAUAGGAACACCCAUGCAAUGGCUUCGGGCUCUGCCUUUGUAGAUGGGUAAAUGUGUGAGAUCAUGCUAAAAGGAAGGUAUUAUUAACCACUCUUUAAAGCCAUGAUGGAUGAAAAGAAAAGAAUCUCAGAAUGCACGACAUGUCAAACGCUGAGGUGGACGGGCUUACAACAAGCAAAACCGGGUUCUGGUGCCGUAAGCCAAGAGAACAGGAAUCUGAUUCUCCUGUGAUUUAGCUAAAAGAAUUCCUUGAGGAACGUCACAUAUAUUAAACCCUAAACAUAAUAAUAAUAAUGUUGUUGUUCUUUCUGUGACUCCCUGUUCAGGGCUGCCACAGCGGAUCAUUUGGUCCACAUGUUUCAAUUUGGCAAAGGUUGCCCUUCCUGACACAACCCUCCGGUUUAAUCCGGGCUUGGGACCGGCACUGAGAGUGGCCGGGAGACUCUUCAGUGGCUGGGUUAGCGCCCUGCCUGGGAAUCGAACCUCAGCCAUGGCUGCUGGACCACCAGAAGGCUAAUAAUAAUAAUAACAAAUCCUAUAUUCCAAAUCAUUCAGAAAGCAAAAAAUCCUUAACUAUCCAAAGAUGGUCAUGAAAAAGAUGGCUUCCUUCUAGUAAAACCUGAAAAACAAACAAACAAAU